UUACCUCUCUCUCAUCUUUGCUUCUCCUCAACGUUCGGUAGCCUAAAAAGCAUCGUCUGCAUAAGAAAUUCUAGAGAGAUAAUGAGAGUUUGUGCUUUGUAUGUAGAGUGUAGUGGAUAGUGAAACUUUAGGGGGGGAGAGAGGUGGGAUAUUGGGUCUCUCUCCAGUUGUUAAAUGUUAAUUGAAUAGGCCUGCCCACCAUCAACACUUGUCUCUUGUACACUUGUCGAGCCCUUUCUUCUUCUUGUUGUUGAGGGAAACACUGCGUGGUGCCACCUCUGUUUAGAGAGGGAGUUUGUGAAGGUUUUGGGUAUUCCAGAUGCUUUGCGAAUGGGCAAAAUUCAACAGCAAAAUCUGCAGCAACGGCAGAGCCAUGACCCCGAGGAUCCAGUUUCGUCGGGACUCCUCUGCCGGGGAUGUUCGGUGGUUCUUCGAAGAUUUGCAAAUGAGCUCAGUUUCAAGUGCAUCUUCAUUUUGAUCUUGAGUCUGUCAGUUUUGGUUUCUGGGUUUUUCUGGAUGUACCCUAGAUUCGCGAUAAAGUCUUGGUAUGAUGCCAGUGAUGCAAUUAAGCAGCGAGCUACUGUCCAAGCAUCCUUCAAACUGGAAAAGCCAGUUUCACAGCUAAUUCCAUACAUUAAAAGACUAGAAUAUGAUAUAUACAGUGAAAUAGGUGUCCCAAAUACAGAGGUAGCUGUUCUAUCCAUACACCCAAGUGGUACACCUGACUUGGCAAAUGUAACGUUUGGUGUUCUCUCUAAUCCACUGAAUGUACCGAUAAAUUCAGUGUACUUGAGUCUGCUGAGGUCAUCAUUAGUUGAACUGUUCCUCAAACAAUCUAAUCUGACUUUGACAACAUCAAUAUUUGGGAAUGCGUCUACGUUUGAGAUCGCAACAAUUCCUGGAGGGGUAACUGUAAUACCAGUGCAGCUGGGUCCUAUUAUUCAGAUACCUGAGAUUCUGUUUAAUUUUACUCUCAAUAGUUCAAUAAAUGAAAUACUGGAUGGUUUUGAUGACUUUAAGAGUGAGCUGAGAUUGGACUUGGGUCUAAGAUCUGAUGAGAAUGUUUACGUUCAAUUAACAAAUGAAAUUGGCUCAACAGUAGCUCCCCCAGUGAUAGUGCAGGUCUCAGUCACGUCAACAUUUGGAAUAAUUCCACCUCAGAGAUAUCUUGAACUGGCUAGAAUAAUAGCAGGCUUCACUGAGAAAAACCUUGGCCGUGGUAACUCAAACUUCGGCAAAGUCAAAGAAGUCAGAUUAUCGUCUUAUUUUAAGGGCUUGUUUCAAGGAGAUGCACCAUCUUCUGCCCCUGCUCCAUCCCCCCAGCUAGUUGAUCCUGCUGAACCUUCAGUUUCACCAUAUCAUUCUCCUUCUCACUCACCAACAUCCCCAACUACUGCUAACCGAUCCCCAUGUUUUGACUGUCAAGCGUCAUCACCUGCACCUUCUAUUGAGACGGAGAAUCCACCUGACCCUUGUCCAUAUAGUGACUUCUCAUAUCCUCCAAGAUCAUCCCCAAAAUCUUAUUCUAACCCAUCUUCUCAAUCUUCUGCUGCUCCUUCUCCCUCACAUUUUGUGAACCCUACAGCUGAGGCGCCUAUAACUGAAGCAUCCCAUGGCUCCAAGCCUGACCUCGGCAAAGGAAAAGCUGUAAAGCCAAUACCUCGGUCACUUGCUUCAUUAUAUUCAUCCGCUAUCCACACAGCAGAACAUCACUACGGACUACAGGGUGAUUACUAAUCUUUCUAUACUUAAUCAGUAGUGAUACUAUUGUAUGUGCAGAAUGAUUUAUGCGCACAUUCGGGAGGGGGAAGACAUUUCUUUGCAUCAGCAUGUGGUGAUUCUCUUGGGGAAAUCUUGCUCUUGGUAUUUUCUAUGCUAUCAGUGUAUGGUCUCUUUUGUCUGUCUCUAUGAAACCAGGGUGUAAAAGAUGUGGAUAAGUUGCCAAAUGAAGGAUCUACAAAGCCCAGGAAGGAGACAGCAGCAUAAUGGUGCUUUAAAAGCUCCUUUUAAACCGGAAGCGGAAAAAAAUGGUCAAAGCCAAAAAAGUUGGCGGGCCACCCCUUUAGUUAUUACUACAUAGAGAGAAUGUUAGAUAAAUAGAUAUGUUCUAUCAAAGGUAAGUAAACUAAGUGAAUGGGGAAAUAUAUAACCAUGUCAAAGUGGGUCUGAAAAAAAAAAGGCGUUUGAUGUGCUUAUAUGUUUCUUCGCAAGCUUUUAUUUCUUUGUUUUUUGUAGAUCAAACUAAGAGCACCACUCUUCAAGAGCAAAGGGUGGCUUCUAAAUGCGAGAAGAAUCGUGUUUUGUAUCCAUUCAAGUGUAUGAUAUGCCAAGUAUUGUGGGUUCUUUACACAUCUGAGUUUACUGUUUAACUUUCAAAACUUAUCUUCUCCAGCAA